AACAGGAUUAGAUACCCUGGUAGUCCACGCCGUAAACGAUGUCUACUUGGAGGUUGUGGCCUUGAGCCGUGGCUUUCGGAGCUAACGCGUUAAGUAGACCGCCUGGGGAGUACGGUCGCAAGAUUAAAACUCAAAUGAAUUGACGGGGGCCCGCACAAGCGGUGGAGCAUGUGGUUUAAUUCGAUGCAACGCGAAGAACCUUACCUACUCUUGACAUCCAGAGAAUCCAGCGGAGACGCAGGAGUGCCUUCGGGAGCUCUGAGACAGGUGCUGCAUGGCUGUCGUCAGCUCGUGUUGUGAAAUGUUGGGUUAAGUCCCGCAACGAGCGCAACCCUUAUCCUUGUUUGCCAGCACGUAAUGGUGGGAACUCCAGGGAGACUGCCGGUGAUAAACCGGAGGAAGGUGGGGACGACGUCAAGUCAUCAUGGCCCUUACGAGUAGGGCUACACACGUGCUACAAUGGCGCAUACAGAGGGCAGCGAGCCAGCGAUGGUAAGCGAAUCCCAAAAAGUGCGUCGUAGUCCGGAUUGGAGUCUGCAACUCGACUCCAUGAAGUCGGAAUCGCUAGUAAUCGUGAAUCAGAAUGUCACGGUGAAUACGUUCCCGGGCCUUGUACACACCGCCCGUCACACCAUGGGAGUGGGCUGCAAAAGAAGUAGGUAGUCUAACCUUCGGGAGGACGCUUACCACUUUGUGGUUCAUGACUGGGGUGAAGUCGUAACAAGGUAACC
rnacentral:rRNA from 1 species